GUUAAUGUAGCUUAAUAAAAAGCAAAGCACUGAAAAUGCUUAAAUGGAUAAUUUUAUCCCAUAAACA
rnacentral:tRNA from 1 species